AUUUGGCUCAGUUACAUUAAUCACAACUAUAAGGUGCACAUGGGUUUCACCCAGUUUUAUCCACGCAUUUCUGAGGACUCAAUUGAGAGGAAAAUACAAAUGCACUUUUAUUGACCUUUACAAACUUCCAAGGAAGCUUAUACAAUUGCCUCGGAACAUCACUGGGGGGAAAAAGUAAAGAACGGACUUCUCUUUGGUUAAUAACUUUAUGUAAAAUUUCAGUUUACAUGAUGAAAAAGAUGCACAAGAAACCCAGAAGACUCUCAAACUUCUCAUUCAUGGUUCACUGCAACUCUCCAACAGGUGCUUCAUUGAGCCAGAGGAAAUGGAUGAAAUCAUACAACUUUGCACUUACACUGACCUUGUAUGGUGUUGGGUUCAGCCUUCUCAUGUGAUCUGGUCGCAUUUGGUCCAGUUGUGCAAUACAUCUUUCCCUGAUCUCCUUCAGAGGAGGAAGGUCUUCUCUUGUUUUAGCUGACUUUCCGGGCCAAAAACACUUUAAAAGUUCCUCAACACGCUGGGGCACUACGUAUGCCCUUUUAGAUUCACUAAAUGGGUGGCGGCAUAAAAUUCGUUCACCUACCUUGGGAUGUGGCUCAUUUUCACCAGUCAUUAUGUCUACAAGGGGGUACCCUUCCUUCCCAUACAAUCUGUAACACCGCUUUUUGCAUGGAAUAGAGACCUUUGAUACGUCUUCAGAGAGUUUGAUUCUAGGCUGAUUGUUUAUUUCAACUAACUUGAAAACAACACCAAGAGCAGCUUGAGCAUAACAGGUAACUAAAUGAGUACCAAUACCAAAUGCAUCAACCUCGUGACCUUGUUUAUUUAGUGCAUCCAGAGUUUCUUCAUUAAGAUCAUUGCUAGCUGUGAUACUCGUCUUUGCAAAACCAGGCAAUCCAAAUUCUUUCUCAAUAGCACAAAAGAAUUUCCUAGCUUCACAUGACUGAUAAGCAAGAUCACCAGAGUCUAGUCUAAUGCCCACUGCUUUAUACCCCAAAUCAUUAAGUGCAAGAGCAACUGCACAAAAAUUUGGAAGACCACUUCUCAUGACAUCAUAAGUGUCUACAAGGGCCAAAAAACUUCCAGGAAAUGCAAGUGCAUACGAGGCGAAAGCGGCUAACUCACUUUGAUUUGUCUCGCUGAAAAUUCCACCCAAUAAGUGUGACCACUUUAAUUUAUCAAGCCAUGUCUGUACCAGACUAACAAAAUCCUCACAAACACUAGAACCAUUAUGAUGUUGAAGUGAUUUCUCUAUGAUCUCAUCUGGGCUCAGAAAUGAGCUAACAAAGGCAUGGGAAUGUGUCCCACGGAGUGGGAUUCCAAACAGCUUUCCAGCUGCCACAUUGCUUGUCGCAUCAAAUCCACCCAUGUAGCAAUACUUGGAUGCUGAUAUACCACCAUCAGGACCCUGUGCUCUCCUAAGCCCAAAUUCAAGCAAUAUUUUGGACCUUCCAGCAACGAAACGGUGUCUUGCAGCAUUAGUAGUAACUAGUGAUGCAUAAUUUAUGAGGUUUACAAAUGGUGUUUCCAGUAGUUGAACCACAGCAACUGGUCCUUCAAUCCUCAUCAGCGGUACCUUGGGAAAAACUACUGAUCCUUCAGAAAUAGAAUAUAUCUCAAUAUCUGAACAGUCAAGUCUUCGAAGGUAUUCAAAGAAGCCAUCCUCACAUGACGAUGGCAACGAUGACCUGAUGAAAGCUAUCUCAUCCUCAGUAAAUUUAAAAUUAGCAAUAAACUUUAUGCACUCUUCUAAACCAGCAAAUAUUGUAUAUUCACCACCAAACGGAUUCCUCCGAAAAUACAAGUCAAACACAGCUCGUUCAUUGUGUUUUCCAGCUUUCCAGUAAGCAUAGGCCAUAGUAAACUGAUAGAGAUCUGUUAAAAUAGGCGUAACCAUAGGAUUGGUCGGUCCAUCAAUAUUGGCACUCUCAGGCCCGCCAUUAGGUAUAGUUUCAGCCAUAAAUCCUAGGGUUAGCAGCAAUUCGGUUUUACAGAACAGAGAGAAUAUGUUGAGACCGUUACAAACGAAGUUGCCUUAAGAAUAUAUAGAGCGCCAAGGAUUAGAUCGGACUUAAUAAAGCUUCAUUCAUUGCUUCUUUUUAACUUUAGAGAAUACUGAAAAGGCGCACUC
rnacentral:misc_RNA from 1 species